rnacentral:SRP_RNA from 2 species
CGUUGAUAGUCGGGGAGGUAGCGGUGCCCUGUAACUCGCAACCCGCUCUAGCGAGGAUGAAUUCCUUUUUAGCGGUAUGAUAAUGGAAGGUUUGCCUUAUAUAAGCGGUGUUGACUUUCGGAGUCCUCGCAAUAGAAACCCAUGAAUCUGGUCAGGACGGGAACGAAGCAGCCAUAAGUGGGACAAUCUAUGUGUCGAAGGGUAGCUUUGAAUGAGCUGGCUGUAUAAGUAGCGCUUGUGUUGUCAUAUCAAUAAAAGGUUCAACG